rnacentral:rRNA from 1 species
AAAGCUGCGCGUGCUUACCAUGCAAGUCGAACGAUGAAGCCGGGGCUUUUUGUUUUGGUGGAUUAGUGGCGAACGGGUGAGUAAUACGUGAGUAACCUGCCCUUGUCUUUGGGAUAAGCCUGGGAAACUGGGUCUAAUACCGGAUAUUCUGCUUUUGCCGCAUGGUGGGGGUUGGAAAGAUUUUUUGGAUGGGGAUGGGCUCACGGCCUAUCAGCUUGUUGGUGGGGUGAUGGCCUACCAAGGCGUCGACGGGUAGCCGGCCUGAGAGGGUGACCGGCCACAUUGGGACUGAGAUACGGCCCAGACUCCUACGGGAGGCAGCAGUGGGGAAUAUUGCACAAUGGACGCAAGUCUGAUGCAGCGACGCCGCGUGGGGGAUGAAGGCUUUCGGGUUGUAAACUCCUUUCAGUACAGAAGAAGCAUUUUUGUGACGGUAUGUGCAGAAGAAGCGCCGGCUAACUACGUGCCAGCAGCCGCGGUAAU